rnacentral:rRNA from 1 species
CCCGGAAAUAAAGGACGUACAAGCUCGGUCCUCGCGAUGCAUCUAGAUUGAGAGUUUGAUCCUGGCUCAGAUUGAACGCUGGCGGCAUGCCUUACACAUGCAAGUCGAGCGCCCCCCCGGGGGACCGGCUGACGGGUGAUUAACGCGUGGGAAUCUACCCAUCUCUACGGAAUAACGCAUGGGGGCAUGUGCUAAUACCGUAUACGUCCUUUUGGAUAAAAAUUUAUCGGAGAUGGAUGAGCCCGCGUUGGAUUAGCUAGUUGGUGGGGUAAAGGCCUACCAAGGCGACGAUCCAUAGCUGGUCUGACAGGAUGAUCAAUCACACUGGGACUGAAACACGGCCCAAACUCCUACGGGAGGCAGCAAUGGGGAAUAUUGGACAAUGGGCGCAAGCCUGAUCCUUCCAUGCCGCGUGAGUGAUGAAGGUCCUACGGUUGUAAAGCUCUUUCACCGGUGAUCAUAAUGACGGUAACCGGAGACCAAGCCCCGGCUAACUUCGUGCCUACCUCCGCGGUAAUCCGAAGGGGGCUAGCGUUGUUCGGAUUUACUGGGCGUAAAGCGCACGUAUGCGGACUAUUAAGUCAGGGGUGAAAUCACUGAGCUCAACCCCGGAACUGCCUUUGAGACUGGUAGUCUUGAGUUCGAGACACGUGAGUGGAAUUCCGAGUGUAGAUGUGAAAUUCAUAGAUAUUCUGAGGAACACCAGUGUAGAAUUCGGCUCACUGGCCUCGAUACUGACGCUGAUGUGCAAAAGCAUGGAGAGCAAACGGGAUUACAUACCCUGGUACUCACGCCGUAACUAUGACAGCUAGCCGUCAGGCAAUAUACUGCUCUGGUGGCCCACCAACUCAUGAUGCUCUCUACUGGUGAGUACUGUCUCACAUUAAACUCAAUGAAUUGACGGGGGACCGCCUGCGGUGAAGCUGUGGAUAAUCCUAACAACCUC